UUUUUGCAUUAGGGAUUGCAGUGGCAUCCUUUUGUGUUUGAGAAAACCAAAAGAUACAACGGAAAGCCCGACCCUGA
rnacentral:sRNA from 1 species